CUCUAUCCAGUGCAAGAAGGGCUCAGCCGGAUAAACGCCCGCUCGACCACCAUGAGCUGGUGUCCUACCUCUGCCCUCUCAAAACUCAACCUCGGGAGCAAGCAGGUUCCACCUAGCCCUGGGCCCUACCUGUCCACCCUCUUCCCAGAGAGUAGGCAGGCUUGCCACUCUACCACCAAAAGGUAGAGACAAGUAAGGCGCCUGGGCCUGAGAGCCAUGGCUCAGCCUCGGACUUUCUUUUACGCCAAAGGGGCUGGAGAUCAAGGCCCCUCCCUGGGCUGCGCCCGAAAACCGGGACAAGGGGCUACUGUGGUCCCAGAGGUAAAUAACUCUCUGGUGAGAAGGAACUGUACUGGGCUCUGAAGAGGAGACCUUCUGGAUGAAUGAGGUAUGGGAUAUGGGACUGAUUCAGAUUGUCCAGAGUGGCAAACUAUUUGCCUCGUGUGGGCUCUUGGCCAGCUGCAGAUGGUUUAAUUCUGAGGACUCUGAGAAGGGCUCCAAGAAAGAAAGCUGCUGCCGCUCCUGGUUGCUGUUGAUGCAGUGUGUCAAGAAGAAAUUGGAGAUAUCCUGAAAUGA